rnacentral:rRNA from 1 species
AGAGUUUGAUCCUGGCUCAGGAUGAACGCUAGCUACAGGCUUAACACAUGCAAGUCGAGGGGCAUCAGGAAGAAAGCUUGCUUUCUUUGCUGGCGACCGGCGCACGGGUGAGUAACACGUAUCCAACCUGCCCUUUACUCGGGGAUAGCCUUUCGAAAGAAAGAUUAAUACCCGAUGGCAUAAUGAUUCCGCAUGGUUUCAUUAUUAAAGGAUUCCGGUAAAGGAUGGGGAUGCGUUCCAUUAGGUUGUUGGUGAGGUAACGGCCCACCAAGCCUUCGAUGGAUAGGGGUUCUGAGAGGAAGGUCCCCCACAUUGGAACUGAGACACGGUCCAAACUCCUACGGGAGGCAGCAGUGAGGAAUAUUGGUCAAUGGGCGCUAGCCUGAACCAGCCAAGUAGCGUGAAGGAUGAAGGCUCUAUGGGUCGUAAACUUCUUUUAUAUAAGAAUAAAGUGCAGUAUGUAUACUGUUUUGUAUGUAUUAUAUGAAUAAGGAUCGGCUAACUCCGUGCCAGCAGCCGCGGUAAUACGGAGGAUCCGAGCGUUAUCCGGAUUUAUUGGGUUUAAAGGGAGCGUAGGUGGACUGGUAAGUCAGUUGUGAAAGUUUGCGGCUCAACCGUAAAAUUGCAGUUGAUACUGUCAGUCUUGAGUACAGUAGAGGUGGGCGGAAUUCGUGGUGUAGCGGUGAAAUGCUUAGAUAUCACGAAGAACUCCGAUUGCGAAGGCAGCUCACUGGACUGCAACUGACACUGAUGCUCGAAAGUGUGGGUAUCAAACAGGAUUAGAUACCCUGGUAGUCCACACAGUAAACGAUGAAUACUCGCUGUUUGCGAUAUACAGUAAGCGGCCAAGCGAAAGCAUUAAGUAUUCCACCUGGGGAGUACGCCGGCAACGGUGAAACUCAAAGGAAUUGACGGGGGCCCGCACAAGCGGAGGAACAUGUGGUUUAAUUCGAUGAUACGCGAGGAACCUUACCCGGGCUUAAAUUGCAGUGGAAUGAUGUGGAAACAUGUCAGUGAGCAAUCACCGCUGUGAAGGUGCUGCAUGGUUGUCGUCAGCUCGUGCCGUGAGGUGUCGGCUUAAGUGCCAUAACGAGCGCAACCCUUAUCUUCAGUUACUAACAGGUUAUGCUGAGGACUCUGGAGAGACUGCCGUCGUAAGAUGUGAGGAAGGUGGGGAUGACGUCAAAUCAGCACGGCCCUUACGUCCGGGGCUACACACGUGUUACAAUGGGGGG